AAACGUGUGCUAAUACCGUAUACGCCCUGAGAAGGGGAAAGAUUUAUUGGAGAGAGAUGAGCCCGCGUUAGAUUAGCUAGUUGGUGGGGUAAAUGCCUACCAAGGCUACGAUCUAUAGCUGGUCUGAGAGGACGAUCAGCCACACUGGGACUGAGACACGGCCCAGACUCCUACGGGAGGCAGCAGUGGGGAAUAUUGGACAAUGGGGGCAACCCUGAUCCAGCCAUGCCGCGUGAGUGAAGAAGGCCUUAGGGUUGUAAAGCUCUUUCGCCGGAGAAGAUAAUGACGGUAUCCGGAGAAGAAGUCCCGGCUAACUUCGUGCCAGCAGCCGCGGUAAUACGAAGGGGGCGAGCGUUGUUCGGAAUAACUGGGCGUAAAGGGCGCGUAGGCGGGUAAUUAAGUUAGGGGUGAAAUCCCAAGGCUCAACCUUGGAACUGCCUUUAAUACUGGUUAUCUAGAGUUUAGGAGAGGUGAGUGGAAUUCCGAGUGUAGAGGUGAAAUUCGCAGAUAUUCGGAGGAACACCAGUGGCGAAGGCGG
rnacentral:rRNA from 1 species